rnacentral:rRNA from 1 species
AGCAGCCGCGGUAAUUCCAGCUCCAAUAGCGUAUAUUAAAGUUGUUGCAGUUAAAAAGCUCGUAGUUGAAUUUCGGGGUUAGUAGGUUGGUCAUGCCUCUGGUAUGUACUGGUCUCACUGAUUCCUCCUUCCUGAUGAACCUUAAUGCCAUUAAUUUGGUGUUUUGGGGAAUUUGGACUGUUACUUUGAAAAAAUUAGAGUGUUUAAAGCAAGCUAACGCUUGAAUACAUUAGCAUGGAAUAAUGAAAUAGGACGUUCGAUCCUAUUUUGUUGGUUUCUAGGAUUGACGUAAUGAUUAAUAGGGAUAGUUGGGGGCAUUAGUAUUCAAUUGUCAGAGGUGAAAUUCUUGGAUUUAUUGAAGACUAACUACUGCGAAAGCAUUUGCCAAG